GAUCUGUUUCUUUGUGUAUUGCAGGACCUGUCUGGUUUAAUAGAUGAUCUACCCAUGGGUACAGAAGGAGCCCUGAGCCCUGGAGUAAGCACAUCAGGGAUUUCCAGCAGUCAAGGAGAGCAGAGUAACCCAGCUCAGUCUCCUUUCUCUCCACAUACCUCUCCUCACCUGCCAGGCAUCAGAGGACCUUCCCCAUCCCCUGUUGGAUCUCCAGCUAGUGUUGCUCAGUCCCGCUCUGGUCCACUUUCACCUGCUGCAGUACCAGGCAAUCAGAUGCCACCACAACCACCCAGUGGCCAGUUGGACAGUAUCAUGCAUCCUUCCAUGAACCAGUCAAGCAUAGCACAAGACCGAGGUUACUUGCAGAGGAAUCCUCAGAUGUCCCAGUACAGCUCUCCCCAGCCCGGCUCAGCCUUAUCUCCUCGUCAGUCUUCUGGAGGACAGAUGCAUGCUGGAAUGGGGCCAUACCAGCAGAACUCCAUGGGAAGCUCCGGACUGCAGGCUGGGCAGUACGGACCUCAAGGAGGUUAUCCCAGGCAGCCAAACUACAACGCUCUGUCCAAUGCCAACUACCCCAGUCCUGGAAUGGGAGGAAGCAUGAACCCAAUGGCAGCAGGGAGCCAGAUGUGUGGCAAUAUGCCUCCUCAGGUGGGGACAGAGAUGUGCCCCCCAGCAAGUGGCAUGGCUCGCAGAGCACAAGGAGUGUCUGCUGCUGCCAUGCACGCUGCUGCCAGCUCCAUCUAGAACUGGCCUCUUGGUUAUCCCAACAUGAACCAAGGGGGAAUGACGGGCACUGGACCUCCUUAUGGACAGGGAAUUAACAGCAUGGCUGGCAUGAUCAACCCCCAGGGCCCGCCUUAUCCCAUGGGUGGGAAUAUGGCUAACAACUCUGCAGAGAUUGAUCUGUUCCCAUGUCAAUCCCAGGCCGGUCUCGCCUUUAUUAAUUGGAGGGAAUGUACCUGAACAGAUGCUCCUGUAGGGGUCAGUUUUUCCAAGUCUCCAAAUGCAAUACAUAGCUAAUGAGACUGUAGACAUACUGAGAUGUCAGGAGACCACG